rnacentral:rRNA from 1 species
GAUCCUGGCUCAGAACGAACGCUGGCGGCGUGCCUAACACAUGCAAGUCGUGCGAGAACGUUCCCUUCGGGGAGCUAGUACAGCGGCGCACGGGUGAGUAACACGUAGGUAACCUACCUCAUAGUCGGGAAUAACCCGGGGAAACUCGGGCUAAUGCCGGAUAAGACCACGGCUGCUUCGGCAGUCGAGGCCAAAGACGGCCUCUACACGUAAGCUGUCGCUAUGGGAUGGGCCUGCGGCCCAUUAGCUAGUUGGUGGGGUAAUGGCCCACCAAGGCUGUGAUGGGUAGCUGGUCUGAGAGGAUGAUCAGCCACACUGGGACUGAGACACGGCCCAGACUCCUACGGGAGGCAGCAGUGGGGAAUAUUGCGCAAUGGGGGAAACCCUGACGCAGCGACGCCGCGUGGGUGAUGAAGGCCUUCGGGUCGUAAAGCCCUGUCGUAGGGGAAGAAUCGGUGGACGGAUAAUACCCGGCCGCCUUGACGGUACCCUACAAGAAAGCACCGGCUAACUCCGUGCCAGCAGCCGCGGUAA